UUGGAGGGCAAGUCUGGUGCCAGCAGCCGCGGUAAUUCCAGCUCCAAUAGCGUAUAUUAAAGUUGUUGCAGUUAAAAAGCUCGUAGUUGAAUUUCGGGAUCAAUAUUUCGGUCAUGCCGUUGGUAUGCACUGUUAUCAUUGAUUUCUCACCUUCUAAAGAGCCGUGAUGCCAUUAAUUUGGUGUUACGAGGAAUUAGGACUGUUACCUUGAAAAAAUUAGAGUGUUUAAAGCAGGCUCACGCUUGAAUACAUUAGCAUGGAAUAAUGAAAUAGGACAUCCGAUUCUAUUUUGUUGGUUUCUAGGAUCGAUGUAAUGAUUAAUAGGGAUAGUUGGGGGCAUUAGUAUUCAAUUGUCAGAGGUGAAAUUCUUGGAUUUAUUGAAGACUAACUACUGCGAAAGCAUUUGCCAAGGAUGUUUUCAUUAAUCAAGAACGAAAGUUAGGGGAUCGAAGACGAUCAGAUACCGUCGUAGUCUUAACCAUAAACUAUGCCGACUAGGGAUCGGAUGAUGUUAAUUUUUUAAUGACUCAUUCGGCGCCUUACGGGAAAC
rnacentral:rRNA from 1 species